AUCAAAUACAUAAUACCGACCACCUUGGAAACUGUCAGCUGAUCAUUGUCAGUCAGUUCGGACGGCCAUGGUACCAAAACAACUGAGGCCAAAGGUCGAGGAUCAACUUUGUGAUCGUAUCAUCAGACCUGAGGCCGUAUUGGACACUUGGGGAAAGAGGAACAGAGCUGUCAGCUGAUCACCACCUGGUGGUCAGUCGGCUGCCGGACAGACCUGGUAAACUGAGCGAGUUUCAUUGAUGCCAAGAGCUGCUACAGAUCAUCUUUUCCAAAGCUGCAUGGAAACAGUCAGUGUGACGUUUCAGCUGCUCUGCUUCAGCUUACCUGAGACAGUGAGAGACAGCCGACGGCUCUCAGAGGAGAAGUCUUGAGAAAAAACAUGGACGCGAUAAACACAGCUGUAGCUUCCUUGGUGGGCGGGCUCUGCGGCAGGAAACAGGAAGUGGGCAGAGUGAUUGACAGCUGGCUGGGUGUAGUUGUGUGAUGUGAUGGAGGAGGUGAAGGCGAGCUGGAAGGAGCCUCCUGGGUACUGUGGCUGGAUGGAGCAGCUGAUGGUGAAGGUGGAGCCCCUGGACACCUGAAAGCCCUGCUGCUGGGCCUCGGAGACCCCGUCCACGGAGGAGGACGCAGAGAUGUUGGGCUGAAGCAGCAGCUAUUCUACAGGCAUGUCUGAGAGAGCGGGUAGUGUCAUUCAGCCAAGGCUCUGAAAGUGGUUUAGAGCGUUUUUCCCCUCAGUGGAGCAACACAGUCCAAUAU